rnacentral:rRNA from 1 species
AACGAACGCUGGCGGCAGGCUUAACACAUGCAAGUCGAGCGCCCCGCAAGGGGAGCGGCAGACGGGUGAGUAACGCGUGGGAAUCUACCCACCCCUACGGAACAACUCCGGGAAACUGGAGCUAAUACCGUAUACGCCCUUCGGGGGAAAGAUUUAUCGGGGAUGGAUGAGCCCGCGUUGGAUUAGCUAGUUGGUGGGGU